GUGAAAACACCAGUUCUCAUUUGAUCACUGAAGUUAAGCAACAUCAUGCCUGGUCAGUACCUAAGUGGGUGACUACUUAGGAACAACAGGCACUGUU